UGAGUUUUUUUAAAUGGUUCCUCAGCAUUAUAAUUGCAUUGCAUAUUCCAGUUUGCACACAUUCACAAGCAUCGUGGCACAACUGAAA